rnacentral:lncRNA from 1 species
UCCUUCAAGGUCGUCCUUCUUUUUCAAGAUUGUUCUGGUGUCUUCUUCCUUUUUACUCACAUGUGAAGGUCACAGGCUUUAAAGGGCUGAGUGCCUUCCUCAGAGAGCUUUUCAAUUGCCUCAGAGGAGCUUCAAGACCUGUGCUCAGUGAAAUCAUGACCUUUUCAAACUGUAAGAGACCUGGGACAACAUGUCUGUGGGUUCUAGUCCUGAUGCUGCUAGUAACCAUGAGGCACAAGCAGCUCCCUUUCCCUCUCUGCAUCCUAGAUGGGCCAUCUUGAAACGAGAGAUUCAGGCUAGAUGACAACUUUCCUGUCCUCUUGCUGCUGAGAUCCUAUGGUGCUAUAUUUUUAGUUCCAUCCAACUGGAGGAAAAUAUCACUGGGUCCGACAAAACUAUUCUACCCUUUCGAAGAAAUGUUGAAUAUGACAAAUUUAGGGUGAGGUAAAGCACAUGAUAUUCACUUAAUUGCCUGUUCAAUUAUUCCAUGUUUUUAACCUCAUUAGGAAGUUGUUGUUUUCAACAUUGACCUUAAAAACUAACGUGCGAUCUGUCAGAGUUUAUGAUGUGAAAUUUCUUGAACCAUUGGGUGACCGUAAUCCAGGGUUAAACAAUCUUCUUUUCUUUUUUGAUGUAAAUUUAUCCACUUGUUUUCUUUGUCUUAUCUGAAUUCUUACCCAAUAAUUAAGGGGGCUUAAAAAAAUCUGUCCUCAAGAAAGGAUUUAAAAAUCAGAGUAAGAGAGCCUGUGACCCAGGUAGAGAUAAGAAUGACAGUUACAUGGUGCUCCCCACCCAUUGUGCACACGGAUGUCCUCAGGGUGUCCCCUCUAAUCCUCAUGGAGGCUCUCUGAAGUAGGCACGAUUCAUAUCCUCACUUCAGGUAUAUCCUCAGUUUGAGCAACCGCAAGGGGCCUGGUCAUUUCUCGGAACAUCAGUGUGCAUCAUUGUUCAAAUUUAUCAUCUCAGACAUUCUAGAGGCCAUUCUAUCUUGGAGACAGUUUCCAUGUCCUACAGCCUCUAGGCCCUGGGUCACGCUGCCAUGACAAGUAUUGGGACACUCUUCAAGGUGACAAGGUUCUUUCCACUUCAUUGAGGGAGAAACUGAGGCACAGAGUGGAAGUGACUUUCUCAAGAUCACGCGGCUGGAAAACAUCACAUUCAGGUUUCUUUCCAGUCUGCAAAAGGCUGCUCAGGUCUACCCGAGACACCAUUCUGUCCCUUCAGAACAAGGGGCUCAGACCAAAGGGAAGAUGAAGGAAUGAAGCACCCCAAGAACGGAAAAAUCAGAGCAAAAACGUCAAGCACCAGUUCGGGGAGAACCACGUGAGAACGGGCAGGGGGCAAGGACCCAGGCUGUGCUUGGCUGUGCCCAGUGCCCUGGCAUAGCCUCCCGC